rnacentral:rRNA from 1 species
AAGCGGAGGAAAAGAAACUAACAAGGAUUCCCCUAGUAGCGGCGAGCGAAGCGGGAAGAGCUCAAAUUUAUAAUCUGGCACCUUCGGUGUCCGAGUUGUAAUCUCUAGAAGUGUUUUCCGCGUUGGACCGCACACAAGUCUGUUGGAAUACAGCGGCAUAGUGGUGAAACCCCCGUAUAUGGUGCGGACGCCCAGCGCUUUGUGAUACACUUUCAAUGAGUCGAGUUGUUUGGGAAUGCAGCUCAAAUUGGGUGGUAAAUUCCAUCUAAAGCUAAAUAUUGGCGAGAGACCGAUAGCGAACAAGUACCGUGAGGGAAAGAUGAAAAGCACUUUGGAAAGAGAGUUAACAGUACGUGAAAUUGUUGGAAGGGAAACGCUUGAAGUCAGACUUGCUUGCCGGAGCUUGCUUCGGUUUGCAGGCCAGCAUCAGUUUUCCGGGGUGGAUAAUGACGGUUUGAAGGUAGCAGUCUCGGCUGUGUUAUAGCUUUCCGUUGGAUACAUCCUGGGGGACUGAGGAACGCAGCGUGCUUUUUGCGAAAGACUCGUCUUUUUCACGCUUAGGAUGCUGGUGGAAUGGCUUUAAACGACCCGUCUUAAGCGGAGGAAAAGAAACUAACAAGGAUUCCCCUAGUAGCGGCGAGCGAAGCGGGAAGAGCUCAAAUUUAUAAUCUGGCACCUUCGGUGUCCGAGUUGUAAUCUCUAGAAGUGUUUUCCGCGUUGGACCGCACACAAGUCUGUUGGAAUACAGCGGCAUAGUGGUGAAACCCCCGUAUAUGGUGCGGACGCCCAGCGCUUUGUGAUACACUUUCAAUGAGUCGAGUUGUUUGGGAAUGCAGCUCAAAUUGGGUGGUAAAUUCCAUCUAAAGCUAAAUAUUGGCGAGAGACCGAUAGCGAACAAGUACCGUGAGGGAAAGAUGAAAAGCACUUUGGAAAGAGAGUUAACAGUACGUGAAAUUGUUGGAAGGGAAACGCUUGAAGUCAGACUUGCUUGCCGGAGCUUGCUUCGGUUUGCAGGCCAGCAUCAGUUUUCCGGGGUGGAUAAUGACGGUUUGAAGGUAGCAGUCUCGGCUGUGUUAUAGCUUUCCGUUGGAUACAUCCUGGGGGACUGAGGAACGCAGCGUGCUUUUUGCGAAAGACUCGUCUUUUUCACGCUUAGGAUGCUGGUGGAAUGGCUUUAAACGACCCGUCUU